rnacentral:rRNA from 1 species
GACGAACGCUGGCGGCGUGCCUAAUACAUGCAAGUAGAACGCACAGUUUAUACCGUAGCUUGCUACACCAUAAACGGUGAGCUGCGAACGGGAGAGUAACGCGUAGGUAACCUGCCUGGUAGCGGGGGGGAAAAACGGGAAACGAUAGCUAAAACAGCAUAAUAUUGAUUAUUGCAUGAUAAUUGAUGGAAAGAUGCUAUUGCAUCACUACCAGAUGGACCUGGGUUGUAGUAGCUAGUUGGUGAGGUAACGGCGCACCUAGGCGACGAUCCAUAGCCGACCUUGGAGGGGGGACGGCCACCCUGGGACUGGGAACCCGCCCCGGCCCCUACGGGGAGCCGCAGUAGGGGAUCUUCGGCCAUGGGCGGAAGUCUUACCGGGCAACGCCGCGUGGGUGAAGGAGGUUUUCGGAUCGUUAAGCUCUGUUGUAAGGGAAGAACGGGUGUGGGAGUUGAAAGUUCACGCUGUGACGGUAUCUUACCAGAAAGCGACGGCUAACUACGUG